UGAGGAAUAUUGGACAAUGGGCGCAAGCCUGAUCCAGCCAUGCCGCGUGCAGGAAGAAGCAUCUAUGGUGUGUAAACUGCUUUUGUACGGGAAGAAACACUCCUUCGUGAAGGAGCUUGACGGUGCCGUAAGAAUAAGGAUCGGCUAACUCCGUGCCAGCAGCCGCGGUAAUACGGAGGAUCCAAGCGUUAUCCGGAAUCAUUGGGUUUAAAGGGUCCGUAGGCGGUUUAGUAAGUCAGUGGUGAAAGCCCAUCGCUCAACGAUGGAACGGCCAUUGAUACUGCUAGACAUGAAUUAUUAGGAAGUAACUAGAAUAUGUAGUGUAGCGGUGAAAUGCUGAGAUAUUACAUGGAAUACCAAUUGAGAAGGCAGGUUAAUACUAAUGGAUUGACGAUGAUGGACGAAAGCGUGGGGAGCGAAAA
rnacentral:rRNA from 1 species